CAGCCUCCUGAGCUUCUUCAGGAGCGGCUUUGCGUUUCAGGCCUUUCUUUCCGCUGCCUCCGCUCUUAUCUCCGGCCUUCGCCAUGAUCUAGAGGCUAAGCUAAAUAUUGUUGAGGAAAAAAGACAUCAUGCUUGCCCUCAAGUAGCUUACAGUUUGGAAGAAGAUAAAACAGAAUUCUAGUUGAAUUCUCAGGAACAAAGCCCUUGAUGAAAUCAAAUGUGGAUCCUGUAAAAGAGGCAGAUGCAUGAAGUUUGAAACAGUGAAUAACCUCGGAGCUUAGCAGUAUAGAGAAGAUGGAGACAAAAAGGAAAAGGCCCCAAAGGAAGAAAAAGCCAUUAAAGGAAACUGGAGAAAAGAAUGAGAACUUGAAAGAGGAGAAGAAGAAGAGAACCAAUACUCAAAAUAUUUUGAAAGUUUUAAAAAGCAAAAGAUUAGAAUUAGUUAACAACCCUUUUCACAAGUGUUUCUUAUGCUUCCUCUCCUCAUUUUACAUCUGCUUCCUGCCCCCGCUCCCACCGCAUCUAUCUCCCCCUCCCCAAGUCUUUCUGAUACCAGACACUUCACAAAAAUAAUACUGGUUUUGUACAUGUUCUUUCAAUAUAUGUAUUUUAUCUAUUGCUCAUCAUUACUUGGGUUCCUCUAAUUAAAUAAGAACUGCUUCUAACUGCUUUAUCAUUACUGGUAACGAAGUUGUCCUUCUUGUGAGGGACUGCCUGAGGAGAUGAUCCAGGCAGCAAAUCAGGAUUUGAACCUACCUCUUAAUUCUCUUCUCAGGAUGGAAGCGUCUUGUACUAUGGACCUCAUCAAGUUGUUUUAUAUUCUUGUUCAUGUUUAUAUUUGGGGAUUUUUUUUAAGGAUUUUUUUUAACCUGCAUAUCCUUGGUAUUAUUUGAAAACUGUUGUUUGACUUCAGCUCUUUUCUUGGAUAUGAAUAUAGCCAAUAGUAAUAUUUAUGGUACUUUGUACAAGAGUGAGGGCAAAUAAAACCUAGUUCAUUCCUUUUAUUAUAGAUGUGCCUUCUAAGGAGAAACUACCCUGAGAUGAAGGUAGCAUCAUUUUUGGUAGCAAAUAUUAUGUGCUUUGGUAUUUUUUUUUAACUUUACCUGAUGUAAUAAUAAACUUCUUUCAUUCAGUGAGCUUAGAAAGAUAGACUGAGAGAUAGCUUCAGCCAGUGAUGGCCUUUCUUUGGAGAUUUGUUUUAAUAAUUACCUAGGCUUUGUUGUCUAUGUUGCCCUGUUAACAUUCCUUGAUGCUAGAAGUGAUUUCCGUCACAAGCCUUUAUCCUCAUAACUUUACUUCCCAGAGGCUAAGGACAAGCUCUGUGCCUGACUACAUUAUGAAACACUUGAGUUUGUCUGACCCAUCCCUCCACUGGCUGCACCACCCAGGACACCAUGAAAAUUAAGAUGCCACUGACUGGAGGUCAGCAGUAAUCCACUGGUUCAGAUGAACUUAACCAACAUGGAACCUCAAAGUCCAGGCUGUGGAAGGUCAUCUCUGAACCUCCUUGAAGUAAGUUUUCGACCAGGUUGUUACUUAUCUUAGUGCUGGUCUUUGAGAUUCACUGGAUUUAAAAAAACCUGAUGCUUGUAGAAGCAUGGAGGACUUCACUGGAUAAGGGUGAUCAUUACCAGGUUCUAUUUUCUUUUCUGUUUAUGAGGACCUCUUUUUCCUUGGUUGCUAUUUUAUGCUCAGUGUCUUGGGAGAAAUACUUCUUAGAAAUUGUUUCUAUUUUAUUUAAUAGCAGUCUAGCUAAACCUAAAGAGGGAGUUGAAUGGGAAUGAGAUGAAA